rnacentral:rRNA from 1 species
AAAUCAUUAUGAGUCAUUAAUUUGGUGAUUAUGAUAACAUAAGGGAAAAAAAAUGAUAUUACCUUAUUAUUAGUGUUGUCCAAAACUGGUGCCAGAAGACUCGGUAAGACCAGAGACGCAAACGUUAGUCAUCUUAAUCAGGCGUAAAGGGUGUGUAGGCUGCUUUAAAAGUUUAAAUCUUUUUAAUAGCUCUUUUGCCGUUGUCAUACCAUUAUUUUUUUGUUUUUGUUUUUUGUUUUAUAAAUAAUAAACAAAAAUGAAUAUAAAGGUAGUACAUUUUAUAAAUUUAAUUAAUUUAAUUAAUUUAAUUAAUUUAAUUUUAUAAUUAUAAAGGGGACAAAAAAGAUAUCCCGGUUUAAGUAAAAAGAAUAAAAUGAAUUAAAGCUAGGAUCAAAUUGAGGAUAAACCAAAUAAUACUUAGAGUAGGGCCGAUAUCCGCAGAUACUAAGGGGAAUACUAAAGGUGAAAGCUUUUUAUCUACUAUUGAUUGACGCUGAGAAACGAAGGUGAGAACAGGAAAUAGGAUUUGAUACCCAGAUACCUCUCACUGUCAACGAUGAAUGGUGGUUGUUAGUUUUAAUAAAAACUGGUAACGAUGUUAACACGAUAACCAUUCCGCCUUGCGAGUACGGUUGCAAAACUGAAACCAAAAAAAUUAGUCGGUUUCGAAGCAAACGAAGUGAGCAUGUUAUUUAAUACGAGAGUACGCGUAAACCUUACCAGUUCUUGCAUAUCCAGUCUGUUUCUAAUGAGACAGAUUGAGUAAUUUUUAUAAUUUUAAAAAUUCGUUUACAGGUGUUGCAUGGCUGUCGUCAACU